rnacentral:rRNA from 1 species
AUGAACGCUGGCGGCGUGCCUAAUCCAUGCAAGUCGAGCGAACGGACUAGAAGCUUGCUUCUCUGAUGUUAGCGGCGGACGGGUGAGUAACACGUGGAUAACCUACCUAUAAGACUGGGAUAACUUCGGGAAACCGUAGCUAAUACCGGAUAAUAUUUUGAACCGCAUGGUUCAAAAGUGAAAGACGGUCUUGCUGUCACUUAUAGAUGGAUCCGCGCUGCAUUAGCUAGUUGGUAAGGUAACGGCUUACCAAGGCAACGAUGCAUAGCCGACCUGAGAGGGUGAUCGGCCACACUGGAACUGAGACACGGUCCAGACUCCUACGGGAGGCAACAGUAGGGAAUCUUCCGCAAUGGGCGAAAGCCUGACGGAGCAACGCCGCGUGAGUGAUGAAGGUCUUCGGAUCGUAAAACUCUGUUAUUAGGGAAGAACAUAUGUGUAAGUAACUGUGCACAUCUUGACGGUACCUAAUCAGAAAGCCACGGCUAACUACGUG